rnacentral:rRNA from 1 species
UACGUAGGGUGCGAGCGUUAAUCGGAAUUACUGGGCGUAAAGCGUGCGCAGGCGGUUCGCCAAGUCAGGUGUGAAAUCCCCGGGCUUAACCUGGGAAUUGCGCUUGAAACUAGCGAGCUUGAGUGUGGCAGAGGGGGGUGGAAUUCCACGUGUAGCAGUGAAAUACGUAGAGAUGUGGAGGAACACCGAUGGCGAAGGCAGCCCCCUGGGUCAACACUGACGCUCAUGCACGAAAGCGUGGGGAGCAAACAGG